UUUAUCAUUGUAUAUAAACACAAGGACUAUACAAACCUUUUCCCAAUCACAAUUUUCAACAUAACAGAUGCUUUCAAAAAAUGGAGAAACGUUGAAUAAACAGAGAAACAAUAUAUGUCUAUGGUAUUCAUAAGAUAUUGUAGAAGGACAAAUAUGUCCAAUUUGCUUUUUGAGACGACGUGCAAUAAAUAAAUAAAAAACAAUUGCGAACCAUCGUAUCACAAAAUUUUAAAUCACAACUUGCCAUAUGUUUGUAGAUGUUGGAAAUGCGAUGUUGUCUUCAUCUUCGUUACCCACUUGAAGCUGCUUUAGCAAAACUUUCUUUUCAUGAAGCAUUUCAUUCCAUGGAUCUUUAUCGUCGAUCGCUGGAUCUAGAAAACAUGA